UGAGAGGAGAGUUGACGGAGAAGAUGGCGGUUGACCUAUAGUUUCAAAGUUUAUACCGUUUAUACUCGGUAAUACCGGUGUUAACACAAGUGUAUUACUCAGUGUGAAAUGUCCACACCGCGGCAACCCUACGUUGCGCCGAAUUGAAAAAGGAAACCGCUAAAAUGAAAUAGCGGUAAUAUUUCCACAUUAAUUGAUAAAAUAACAGAUUGAUGAUUUUGAUCUCUCCCUCAACUCGAGUGCUGAUUACGAUAGGCCUAUAUUGUAUUACAUACAAAUAUUUUAUAUUUCUAAUUUUAGUAAAAGGUUGGACACACAAUUAACAUUACUUAUAAAGUAGGCUACUCAAUCAUCAAUGCAGAAUUCUUUCAUAAAGUCUUGUAUGCCACUCCGUUCUCCCUAUUUCAACUAGGUGUGUUUUGCGUUUUGUGUGUACACACUUGCUCAACAUGGUCUGGUGGAUCAUCACAGGGGAAUUCAGCUUCAUCUGAAGAGUCAAUCUGGAAAAGCCAAAUUUAUCAAUGAGAUUAGGAUACCCACAGCAAAUAGAAAGUAGCUGUUUGUGGCAGCUUGAACUUAAAUUACAAUUGUACAGUUAUAAUUUCUGAACAUCCAUUCUCUUAAUUAACUUUGUGUUUAAUGUUUACAUACCAUAGACUGUGUAUUCAUUUGAUCAUCAAGGUCUCCGUCAUCAGAGAAUUCAGCUUCAAAUGAAGGCCUUGAAUCAAUCUGGAAGCCAGUGGACAAAUAGAGGUUAGCCUAGCUGUAGGGAAUUACUUCGACAAAGUGUCGCAAGGAGGCGCUCUUAUUCCAGUUUUUCUUACCUCCUCAGUCGAACUUGCUGGCCGUUCCUCUGUCUCAAUUGACUUCUGUACCAUCUUGUAGUUUUUGGCACAGGUAUAGAAAAAUCAGACAAAUAUCGUUUAUAAUUUCGUGAAAUUUUGCAGUUAGACGACUGUCAAUGCAGACAAAUUUAAACUGAAAACAACAACUGAACAACUGAAAAAGACAACUGUAAACCCGCGAGCGUCUCACGCGCUGCGAAUGCGGUUGUAAACAUAUGCUACGCAUUCGCAGCGAGUGAGACGUCCGUUGAAUAUUUGACAGUCAAGUCGUGAGUUUUAGUCGUGAGUUUGCUACGGAAAAAUAAAGAAAAUGGCAAAAUAUGCACUAUUUGACUCUCCGGAUGAAGGGGCUGUGGACAUAGGCGAAAUAGCAUGGGUGGUAGGCGAAGUAAAUUUAAAAGAUCCUUUUGUAACAUAUAAAGUUAAUUGGCCAAACAAGGGAAGGAUUGUGUCAUGUCCAAGACGGAUUAUAUCAGUCAGUGGUAAGUAACACAAUUUUUUUUCUCCUUUGACUAUGUUUAUAUAAAGUAUGUGCAUAACUACAUACAUAUGGUAAUAUUUCAAAUAUCACGGUAAACGUUUUCGUUUCAAAAACGUUGUUAAUUGUUAAGCUCGCAACGGUAGGCACGAUAAGGCCCCCUAGCUCGCGGCCUAUAAUGUGAGGCGCGGGAAGUGUGGGGGAAGUGUGGGGUGCGCGCGGCCUGGAUUUAUAGAGAGAAACUUUAUUUUACCCAAAAUAAUGCUAGCAUUUUAAACACACAUUAUGAAAACGUCAUAAUUUGACGUUUUCAGACAACAGAGAGGAGUUAGUUUGCAAGAAAAGGCAUUAUCUUGAUGGUGGAGACAAACUGUCGAGCCCGGAGGAGAAAGGGAAGGGGAAAAGAAAGAAACUGAAGAAUGGUCGAUAUUCUGACGACGACGUAGUAUCGCUGGUAGGUAACUAAAGUUGUAUCACAGAAAUGUCAUCUAUAGGCCUUGUGGAUGAGUUAAAUUAAAAUCGUUGAAAAACUAAACUUCAUUAUGAUUGAAAGGAUCCUCAGUUAAGUCAAUGUAAGAAGAAGAAGAAGAGACAAGAAACACAGGUCUUAACGUCUUAAUGGAACUGGAAAAGCAAGGAUCAUGUCAGCUGAACUAAAUUAAUGAAACCAGGAAUGAAUGCCAUCACCCAUCUUGUGAGCUGUUGAGGGAGAACAACCACAGGCUGCAGAGGGAAAAUGAUUCUCUCAAGGCAAAAAUAUGCAACAUUGAAAUUGCUGCCAGACGUUUUGCAGAAGAUCGAGGAGUUUCUCCGCUCAGCACCAAGACCAACGACAACACCAAUACCAACACCAACACCAAGACCAAGACCAGAACCAACACUAUCACCAGCACCAACAGCAGUUCCAGCACCAGCAACAGAAGACCCAUCACCAGCUCCAGGUCCAUCAUCAGCAUCAGCAACAGAGGCCCUGGGCCACUCUGUCAUUCCAAAAGGACUUGUGGAGCGCUGCUCCUUCUAAGGCCCCCAGAAGUUCAUAAAUGAUCUCCUACAUGGGAUGUAUACCAGGGAAUAUAUGGCAGGCCAUUCAGUGACUGGCCAGUCAUCCAGCAGCUGCACAGAAGGAAAACCUGGCCUAGCCAAACCAGACCUUGUUGAAAUAAGAAAUGCUGCAAAGUUGAAGUUCACCUACGUAACUGAUAUGAACAUAAAAGCAUUUAUACGACAAAAGCUGAACAAUGCUGCCAAAUUUCAGAAACAAUAAAUUAUCAACUGUUUAAAGAAAGUUAAA